GAAGCCAGGCUGCACAGGAGGAGAUACGCUGCGCCGUUAGAACCUGAAUCACGGGCCGGUGUCGUGGCCCAGAGGUCAAGGGGCCGGUGUUGUGGCCCAGAGGUCAAGGGGCUGCUGUGGUGGCCCAGAGGUCAAGGGGCCGGUGUGGUGACCCAGAGGUCAAGCGGCCGGUGUCAUGGCCCAGAGGUCAAGGGGCCGGUGUGGUGGCCCAGAGGUCAAGGGGCCGGUGUGGUGGCCCAGAGGUCUAGGGGCCGGUGUGGUGGCCCAGAGGUCAAGGGCUGGUGUGGCCCAGAGGUCAAGGGGCCGGUGUGGCACAGAGGUCAAGGGUUGGUGUGGCCCAGAGGUCUAGGGGCCGGUGUGGUGGCCCAGAGGUCUAGGGGCCGGUGUGGUGGCCCAGAGGUCAAGGGGCCGGUGUGGCCCAGAGGUCUAGGGGCCGGUGUGGUGGCCCAGAGGUCAAGGGGCCGGUGUGGUGGCCCAGAAGUCAAGGGGCCGGUGUCAUGGCCCAGAGGUCAAGGGGCUGCUGUGGUGGCCCAGAGGUCAAGGGGCUGCUGUGGCCCAGAGGUCAAGGGGCUGCUGUGGCCCAGAGGUCAAGGGGCCGGUGUGGUGGCCCAGAGGUCAAGGGGCUGCUGUGGUGGCCCAGAGGUCAAGGGGCCACAGCAGCACCAGCAUCCUGCACGAAAGCGCCAGUCUGAGGCCUGACUACUCUCCUAUCCAGCUUCCUCCCAGCAUUCCUGAGAAGGCAGCGAGAUGGCGUGAGUCCUAGGGCCCCUGCCGCCCACGUGGGAAACCCAGAUGGAGUUCCAGGCUCCCUGCUUCAGCCUGGCCCAGCCCCAGCCUUUGCCGCCAUUUAGGGAGUGAACCAGCCAAUGGGAUAUCUCCCCCAUCUCCCCCACCCCGUGUGUGUAUUUAUCUACCUUUCAAAUAAAUAAAUCUUGGGGAAAAAAAAAAAAAAAAAA
rnacentral:lncRNA from 1 species